AAGGAAUAUUGGACAAUGCUCGCAAGAGUGAUCCAGCCAUGCCGCGUGCAGGAAGACGGCCCUAUGGGUUGUAAACUGCUUUUGAACUAGAGAAAACCCCCCUUCGUGAAGGGGGCUGAUAGUAUAGUUAGAAUAAGCAUCGGCUAACUUCGUGCCAGCAGCCGCGGUAAGACGAAGGAUGCAAGCGUUAUCCGGAUUCAUUGGGUUUAAAGGGAGCGUAGGUGGAUUUGUAAGUCAGUGGUGAAAGCCGGCAGCUUAACUGUCGAACUGCCAUUGAUACUGCGGAUCUUGAGUAUGGUUGCUGUGGGCGGAAUAUGACAUGUAGAGGUGAAAUUCAUAGAGAUGUCAUAGAACACCGAUUGCGAAGGCAGCUCACAAAACCAUUACUGACACUGAGGCUCGAAAGUGCGGGGAUCAAAC
rnacentral:rRNA from 1 species